CUUUUCAAUUCUGCCGCUAUCUUUAGGAUAGCCAACCUCCCAGCCUGCCUCGCGCUCGGGGAAGCCGAGCUCAGGCCCAAGGCAAGCGAGGGACAGAGAGGGGGCUCCCUGCGGCGUGCAUAGCAGCGGGAAAGCACCCCCAAACAUUUGCUAGACUCGAGCUCCGAAUCCUCACAAUUCGCAAUGAAAGGCGCAGGCACAGCUCCUCACCGCUACACGUCAUCUCUACAGACGCUCUAGGGCGCGUAUCACGUGAGCCUGCGUAAGGCUUCCGGUGGGCUGCGUGAUGACGCAGGCAGCACAUGCGUACUACUGCGGUCUUGGGCCGGGAAGUUCCGUGGGCUGCUGAUCAUCGAUAGUGUCUUCGUUAUCCAGUGCCAUCGAGAGUUAUAAUCGGUGCCUGCUCUUUUCCGAAGCCGCGUGGCUGGUCACCCCACGCCUCUCGCAACACUUCUGGAAGAUGCCAAUCGCAGCUCCCAUCUCCUGGAACUGGCCCCCGCUUUUUCUCCAUUUCCGCCAUUGUUUCACGAGGAACAUCUUUACCGAAUCGUCUGUGUCUUAAUCUGUACCUCCGAUGGCUUUUCUGAGCUGUAAGGAUGCCAGGCUGGAAAGGAGUGGAAUGCCCUCGUGUCCUGCCCUGGUGUGCAUCAGGGAUAGGCAGGAUGGAAAGUGUGGUCACAGUAGGGGCAGCACAUUUGUGUAACGCUCAGGCCCUGGGUCAUACCUUGUCACCUUUGAAGGUGAAGGAUGUCAACAGAUAUGGAUGCUGAACACACCAGCUUCUGGGAGCUAUUGUUGGGAGACACUUCUCUGCAAAUCUCCUGUAGCUCUGUUCUCUGCAGCCACCUUCUCCCCAUAGGCUUGGUUCUGUGCCCCUGCCCCAUGUAGUCUGUCUUCCCCCAGUGUUUCAGCAAUAAAAUUCCCAACAUGCUAAAGCUAAAAGGUGUGAGCACUGAGCUACCAGGCUGUUCCACGGGAUUUCUGCAGUGGCUUUGGCACCAUGUUGUCUGCUUCCAGAAUAAGGAUCCUCUGCAUCGGAACCCCAGGCCCUGUAAUAUCUUUGUGUGAUCAACAAGGAAUAUUUAAUAAAACGUUUUCAG